rnacentral:rRNA from 1 species
AUGCACGCUGGCGGCGUGCCUAAUACAUGCAAGUCGCGCGAACAGAUAAGGAGCUUGCUCCUUUGACGUUAGCGGCGGACGGGUGAGUAACACGUGGAUAACCUACCUAUAAGACUGGGAUAACUUCGGGAAACCGGAGCUAAUACCGGAUAACAUAUUGAACCGCAUGGUUCAAUAGUGAAAGGCGGCUUUGCUGUCACUUAUAGAUGGAUCCGCGCCGUAUUAGCUAGUUGGUAAGGUAACGGCUUACCAAGGCAACGAUACGUAGCCGACCUGAGAGGGUGAUCGGCCACACUGGAACUGAGACACGGUCCAGACUCCUACGGGAGGCAGCAGUAGGGAAUCUUCCGCAAUGGGCGAAAGCCUGACGGAGCAACGCCGCGUGAGUGAUGAAGGUCUUCGGAUCGUAAAACUCUGUUAUCAGGGAAGAACAAAUGUGUAAGUAACUGUGCACAUCUUGACGGUACCUGAUCAGAAAGCCACGGCUAACUACGUG